rnacentral:lncRNA from 1 species
CCGCUGAGGGUGCGACCAGUCCCGUAGAGCGAGGAACACAUAUUAUAGAUGAUCUACAAACGGCGAUUAAACAGAUCACAGAUCGAUUGAACGAAUUACAACCACCAUCAAAAAGGAGAAUGAGUUCGGGAAUACCGACAACUCCGCGACGAAAUGCAACAGUGCAAGGACAAAAUUACAAUCGGCUGUGUUAUGAGGAUAGAACAUCACAAAACAGGAUUCCAAAUAAUAGAAAUCCGCCUUCUUAUUCGCGUGCUAUAGAGAACAAUCGGCAGCAUAACACCUCGAGGUUACCACCACCUCCAAGGUUUAAUACAUUUAAUACACGGAUAAACAACGGUCGUGACCAAUAUCCUGGGUAUCCACCAUCACGUCCGUUGAAUAAUCAACGUUAUUUCGCUACUCGACAAAAUCUGCCGCAAAAUUCGCAAAAUAACAGUCGGAACCAAUCCUAUCGUAAUAGAAGUUCCUGACUAGCAAAAAGAGAAUCGGUAAAUGUUAGACAACGUGAGAGGACAGAUAAUCACAGACGAUCGCCAUCACGCGUCAUUAUAUCUGUCACCGCACAGAAGAAAAUGAAUAAUCAGUAUGGAAAGAAAAAUUAUACAAAUUAUACUGCUCGAUACAAAGGAAUGCACGAGACUAAAAUGGUUAGGGACACAGAACCAAGUUUAAAAUGUAUAAUUGAAAACAGGACGGCGUAUUUGACAAUAGACACAGGAGCUAAAGUGACCUUGUUGUCUAGAACAUUUAUAAGAGGUUUGCGGAAGCGCUUGAUUCCGUCAUACGAG